CGGGCUGUAGCGCAGGGGCUAGCGCGCGCCGUUCGGGACGGUGAGGUCGGAGGUUCAAAUCCUCUCAGCCCGA
rfam:Spirochaeta americana strain ASpG1 genome assembly, contig: Ga0071122_112